UACGUAGGGGGCAAGCGUUGUCCGGAUUUAUUGGGCGUAAAGAGCGUGUAGGCGGCCAGAUAGGUCCGUUGUGAAAACUCGAGGCUCAACCUCGAGACGUCGGCGGAAACCAUCUGGCUAGAGUCCGGAAGAGGAGAGUGGAAUUCCUGGUGUAGCGGUGAAAUGCGCAGAUAUCAGGAGGAACACCGGUGGCGAAGGCGGGUCUCUGGGCCGUAACUGACGCUGAGGAGCGAAAGCAUGGGGAGCGAACAGG
rnacentral:rRNA from 1 species